CCUACGGGUGGCAGCAGUGAGGAAUAUUGGUCAAUGGGCGCGAGCCUGAACCAGCCAAGCCGCGUGAAGGAAGACUGCCCCACGCGUCGUAAACUUCUUUUGUCAGGGAACAAAGUGAGCCACGUGUGGCGUUGUGAGUGUACCCGAAGAAAAAGCAUCGGCUAACUCCGUGCCAGCAGCCGCGGUAAUACGGAGGAUGCGAGCGUUAUCCGGAUUUAUUGGGUUUAAAGGGUGCGUAGGCGGUUCGGAAAGUCAGCGGUAAAAGGUCGGGGCUAAACCCCGGCGAGCCGUUGAAACUGUGGGACUAGAGAUGGCGAGAAGUACGCGGAAUGCGCGGUGUAGCGGUGAAAUGCAUAGAUAUCGCGGAGAACGCCGAUUGCGAAGGCAGCGUACCGGCGCCGGACUGACGCUGAGGCACGAAAGCGUGGGUAUCGAACAGGAUUAGAUACCCCGGUAGUC
rnacentral:rRNA from 1 species